rnacentral:lncRNA from 1 species
GUUCUAGUGGGUCUGGACAGGUGUGAUGUAGUUAAUGGAGAUGGAGGUGUGUUCUAGUGGGUCUGGGAAGGUGUGAUGUAGUUAAUGGAGAUGGAGGUGUGUUCUAGUGGGUCUGGACAGGUGUGAUGUAGUUAAUGGAGAUGGAGGUGUGUUAUAGUUGGUCUGGGCAGGUGUGAUGUAGUUAAUGGAGAUGGAGGUGUGUUCUAGUGGGUCUGGCAGGUGUGAUGUAGUUAAUGUUAAUGGAGAUGGAGGUGUGUUCUAGUUGGUCUGGGCAGGUGUGAUGUAGUUAAUGGAGAUGGAGGUGUGUUCUAGUGGGUCUGGACGGGUGUGAUGUAGUUAAUGGAGAUGGAGGUGUGUUCUAGUGGGUCUGGACAGGUGUGAUGUAGUUAAUGGAGAUGGAGGUGUGUUCUAGUGGG